ACCUAUCACUUAUGAACCUUUUGAUCCAACACUCAUUUGUAUAUAUAUACACCAUUAUUUGUGAUGUUAAGCUCUUAAUUAAUUAGGUAAGAUUGUUUGUACUAGCUGGAGAUUUCUAAACAUGUAGUUGAGUUUAAUUUCCCCCAAAAUAUUCCCUAUGAAAUUGCUUUGAUUUUCUUUAAUUAGGCAUAUCUAUACUAUUAAAGCAGAAUCCCUCAUAGGAUUCUGCCCCUGUUUUUUCAACUUAAUUACAACCAAAUGCCACUGCCAUUUUCUUCCUUUUUUUAAAUGAAAAUCGUCCAUUAUAAUUGGCCAACCAGAACCACCUAUUUUUAAGCCCAUUCACGACAACUUUUACACAAAAACUGAUUCGAACAUUCAUUUAUACCAACUCAAUCUGUUUAAACUCAUUUGGAAUAUAACAUAACCCACUAAAAAUUUACCCAAUUCGAUACCCUAAAAUUUAAGGUUUGCGAGAUAAAACUCAGAAAAAACCUGUAUCUAAUACCAUAAGACUUGAAAUUUUCGAUUUAUGAAUUUGACAAAAUAUAGUAUUUACAUUUUAGUACCACUUGAAUGAAGAACCAAUUAAAAUAUUGAAUGUGAACCAAAAAAAUAACAAUCUAUUAACAUUUUAUCAAUUAGUGGAUUUAUAAAGAAUAAGAAUGUAUUUUUAAUUGAGUUAUAGAUUAACCCAUUCACUUUUAUUCCAUUAUUGAAAUCGAUUCAAUAGAUGUUAAGGAAUAUUCUGUGUUUUAACUACUUGGUCACUAAUAAAUAUUUUUUUUUCUAAUAAAGAAAGGAUUUCUAAAGAUUAUAAAAGUUACCUAAUAUCACGGUGCAUGAUAUCCAACUAAUUAUAUUAACGUGGCCAACACCCACCGAUUAUAUUGGAGCUUUCAAAUGGUACCCAUAUUUACAAUAAAUGAUAGCGAUAAUAUAGAUAUUAUAGCGAUAAUAUAGAUAUUAUAGUUUAGAAAAAUCUAGUGGGAUACGAUUUGGAGUAUGCCCCAAGGUUUCCCAAUAACCUAAGCACCUCUCCCUUUAACCUCUUCAUAUUAUAAAUACCGUAGACCCCUUCCUAUUGAAACCACUACCGUCAAAAACACUGCCCUUAAAGAAACCUACUGCUUGCAGCAAAACAUAACCUAAGCAAAUCCAAACAUUGGAAGCUUCUAAUGAAAUAGUGACAGGCAUCAAAUAUUUGAGGUCCUAGAAGAUUACUUGGUUUGUUCAUGUGAAGGUUCUACACUCUUGGAAACAAAACAUAACAGGGAAAACCAUGUAAUUUGUAUUGGCUGAUGAGAAUAUUUGCUGGGACAGGUAUUGAACUGUGGUGAGGUCGAGAUGAUCCAAUGUAUUCGGGAGAAGCGACGGAAGAAGCUUGAGUUCACCCUACACGACAUCCAAUAAGUUUGGUAGCAUCUUUAACCCACCUAGAACCUGUACAUACGUAACAUAAUUUUAUGUCAUUUUUUUGCCUGGUCAAAAGCAUUCGAAUUAUGAAAUGCUUACAAGAAUCACCAGGCUUACACACAUUCUGGGCGAAUUUAUCUUCUUAGAAAGUUUAAUGUUAGACUUCUUA